UAUUACAUGUUUGAUACCAGUAUGUAUCAUCCUAGUAGGAAAACCGGUACACUGUCCAGUACGGUAUUUAGAACCUUAGUUAGAAACAAAAAGCUUGUUAGUAAUAUGGUCCUAUGAUGCUAAUUGCUGGCUAAAUCAAUUUCAAACUUGACGGCACGCCAACUCCAGGUUGAAUGAUGUCCUCAAAUGUCAAGCUCAUCUUCUCCCCGCCUAAUAAAGGGACUGAAAUUGUGCAACCAGUUAGAGAUUUUACAAGAGGUACUUCUAUUGCCAGCUCUAAAUCGUCGCCAUCUCUCCGAAACAAGGGGUGCCUUUUUUCUGCAAUCACGAAGAUUAUGUCAGCCCGAUCAAUUCCCGGUGUCUCCUUCCCCAAUCCUUCGAAUGUGAUUUUCGUUCCUUUCCUCCAUCCUGGCUUCACUUUGAUGGUUAGCGUUUCCUCCUCUUCUACUAUUUU